rnacentral:lncRNA from 1 species
GCCACGGUUUCAAAAAGUACAACUAUGUUCAAUGCAACAUGAUAAGAAAAACUUCAUUGGUAUAUUUAUACUUCUUGUAAAUAGUAGGGCCUGGUUUGGGGGUCCCUUCAUUUCUCAAUGAAUGCUUUCAUUUCUAAUGGAUUUUUUUCUCUGUUCUAUAUGCUGCUUGUCCAUUAUUCUCUAUUUUUUUUCUUCCUUUUUUUCUCUUUAUUCUUUAUAUUUUCUUGCCCAUAUCCUAUAUUGUCAACCCCUAUCAACACCCUCUUUAACGCAUUCUUUACCAAUUAGUCGACAAUGUUGGGUUGUGGGUGGCCAUCUUGUGUCACAUGGUGUCGUUGUAACAUGUUCCCGCGUUGUAAAGUUGUACGUCAUCAGUGAAUGUUGAAAUACUAC